rnacentral:rRNA from 1 species
AUACGGAGGGGGCUAGCGUUGUUCGGAAUUACUGGGCGUAAAGGGCGUGUAGGCGGAUCGAUCAGUCAGGCGUGAAAGCCCCGGGCUCAACCCGGGAAAUGCGCUUGAAACUGUCGAUCUUGAGUUCGGGAGAGGGUAGUGGAAUUCCCAGUGUAGAGGUGAAAUUCGUAGAUAUUGGGAAGAACACCAGUGGCGAAGGCGGCUACCUGGACCGAUACUGACGCUGAUGCGCGAAAGCGUGGGGAGCAAACAGGAUUAGAUACCCCGGUAGUCC